rnacentral:lncRNA from 1 species
CACAAUUAAGUCUGUUACUAAAUUUAUACAAUGUUUGGUUGGCGGUAUAAAUAUAUCCCGGAAUAAAUUUAUACUGCCAACCAAACAUAGUAUAAAUUUAGUACCUCACUUUAUCCUACAGUAUCUCACCUUAUCCCACGUACCAAAUGACCCCUAAACGUUUAUGCAUCAUGCAAGGCACAAAAGAACACACAGCAGAGUUGCAGAAUAAGGAGGGGAAAAAAUCCUUUGGACAUAGGAACAAAAAUACAGAUUAUUCAACAUUAAUUAUUUUUAGAAAGAAAACAAAGGACAACUGCCAAAACCUCUUUACUCGGGUAUAAUGAACUAUUAUGCCUUCUAUCACAUUUUGACAAGAAGAAAAAAAAAAUGAAAAAUAAGGACAGUAACUUAUGGUGGAUUCUGCAACAUGCUAAAAUGUUUAUAUGGAUGAAUGAAGCAUCUGUAAGCUAAUCCAACAUGUCUCUUCGCAUAUCACUCAAUUGGUGGAAUACUUAGAGAUCAAUUUGUCAACAUGAAUUACUAUAUCAUCUAUGCGAGGUCGGACUGUAGCUUGAGGCUGAAGCAUCCAUGUCACAAACUGGUGAAGGGCGUCGGGAUAUGAAGUGUUAGGACCGGUCGUGAUGGCGCCCAGUACACUACUAGGCAAGCCCGACCAUUUAUACCAAUACCCUGAUUAUUUGAACAAGUUACAGAUAAAGCUAUUUAAGUCAAAACUCAGUUGGCCACUUGAUUUGGGCAUUUACAAUAGCCAACUGAGGACUUUCAUCAGAUUCCUCAAAUGCAUACUCAAAAGGAGAUACUCCAUACCUGGAAAUAGAAAAGAAGUGAAAUUAUUAAUUAUCUUUUUAUGGAAACAGACAUACUCAAACACCAAUUCACAGUUAAAGAUAUCCAAAACCAGUUCAAAUAUGCAUGUCAUGAGCUUCUUU